rnacentral:tRNA from 5 species
GGGGGUAUAGCUCAGUUGGUUAGAGCACUUGCAUGACACGCAAGGGGUCGCAGAUUCGAGUUCUGCUACUCCCACCA